GGAAUUGACUGCUAAAUUCUAUUAAAAUUCUAUUCAUUCUCGGACGACGCUAUUUUAAAAUUGCGCAGCAAUUGAAAUUCAAUGAGAACUAGUCGAUAAAAAAAUUAUAAAAUAUUAAUAAAUCAGUGUAAAACAGACCAUACCUUAAAGAACAACUUGGAAGGUCCCUGAGUAGAGGAGCUAGGACACCAACGUAUCCAAGAGGAACCCUGACGUUCCCUCCAGGAAUCUCAAUGUAACUUCCGAACUGAUCAGCAGACACCAAAGAUAAGUCAUCCCCACAUCGACUUCUCACUAGAUUCGUCAUUCCGUACAUAACUCGGGCGGCGUCGUACCUGAAGAUAUGAUAAGCGGUGAUGCUGACGGGAAGAUCAAUUGCUCGGCCGUCGCUCGUGCAGAAGAGAUUUUUCGUGGGGUCUGGCCGGAAAAGUGGAUGUUUCAGGAGGCCCUCCUGGGCUGCCAGGGUAAAGACAGGAUUUGCCACGCAACCACCUUCGAUAAAAUCCGCCCCCAUCUCCGCUACGACGUCUCCUAGCCAACACGAGUGGAUUCGUCCUCCAGGUCUAUUUUUAAUGAAGAAAUCAGGUAAUUUAUGGGACCUUCAGGGACAAUUUAAUUUGC